CUCGAUGCUCCGCCGCUCGCGGCUGGGGGGUCCGGGGCCGCGUCUCCUCUCCUCCCUCCGCCUCUCCUCUUUCCUCCUUCCUGCUGCCUCUUCUUUUAAAGCGGAUUCUUUGGCCACAAAUAGCAACUCGGCUGCCCCCCUCGGUGCCUCCCUCCCCUUCUCUUCUUCCCCCCAAAAGUGAAGCGCACGCGAGGAGCUGAAAAGCUGUGCAGGGAUGAUGGACCCUUGCCCCCUGUGACCUAAGGAUGGAUCCAGAAAUCUCAGCCUCCCCAUAGGUAAAGAAACGAAGACCCUGAGAAUUUAAAAUCAUCCAACUAUUUGGUGCCAGAAGCAGGACAAGAACUCAGACAUCAUGAUCCAGUGCCCUCCAUCCCACCAGCUAUUCAUCAUCACCUCCACAUUCUGGAUCAAAGAAGCCAGUUUUCCAACUUAUCAAUGAGCAAUACAUAUAGAAUAUUUUUAAAACUCCAAAUACUUUUAUGAAGGAAAAAUGAAGCAAUAGGACAAGACAUUUUCUUCGUUUCCUUCCAGCUCUAACAUUCUGUGAUAAAUAGCACACAGGAGCUUUGCUAUAGCACUACCCCCUCUAGUGCAUAAUUCAGCAUACGAUGAGUAUGAGUCUGUUUUGGACCCCAUCCAAAGGAGUUAGUUCCUAGAAGUACUUGGAAGAUUUAUUCUCAUUUAUCAUGAGGCAUCCUAACAGGAGACUAAAAAUAAUCACGAUGACAAUAAUAGUAAUCAGUUGUUACACUUGUAUUAUGUACUAAGCAUCGUGCUAAGCAUGUUAAAGUUCACCUGUUUUUGAAAAGGCACUUCAUGACCUUAUGUGGGUUGCGAAUCUAGUGGGUCAUAAACAAUUUCUGAAAUGAAAGAAAAGUAGGAAAAAACACAGAGUGCAUUAUACAUACUAAGUUGUUUUAUUUUUUAUUUUUUUAUUUUUUUUGCAAAACUUCCUUUUUGAUCAUGUGGCUAGUGAUUAAAAGUUUGGAAGCACUGCCUCGUUUCCAAUCUUAACUGCCUUGCUAGUUAAGUAUUAUUAGCCCCAUUAUAUAAGUGAGGAAACAGGACGAGAGAGGAUAAGUAAUUUGGCCAAGCUGACACAGUGAGUGGCCAAGCUAGAAUUUUGAACCUAGAUCUGUUUGACUUCAAAUCCAAUAUUUUCACUUCUAUAGUGAUGAUAAAUUAUUGACCAAGGUAUGGAAUAAAUUGUUGCUAAUCAUGUUUUCUUUGUGAGGACUACUGGGGUUUUUAUUAAAUCCAGCUAAAUGGAGAAACACAGCAUAGAUUCAAGUGACAUGUUCGGAAGAGAGUGAGGAAUUUCAUAAAACACUAAAUCUAAUAUCUAAGACCUUUUCCUGUAGGUGUUAGCUUAUGUCUAAUACACUUUAUUGACUUACUGCUAAAUACAUAAAUGAAACAAUAAUAGUUUCAGUCCUCAAAUAACAAUAUUCACUUCUACGUGUGUUUCUAUUUUUAUUUCAGAGAGUAUUUUUCAAAUUUAAGUUAUACAGCAUUUCUCAGUAGCUUGCUUUGGCCAAACACAGAACUAGCACAUAAGAAAGCUAAAAGGCCAGGCACUGUGGCUCACACCUGUAAUCCCAGCACUUUUGGAGGCCAAGGCAGGCAGAUCACUUGAGGUCAGGAGUUUGAAAUCAGCCUGGCCAACAUGGUGAAACCCGUCUCUACUAAAAAUACAAAAAUUAUCUGGGCGUGGUGGCACGUGUCUGUAAUCCCAGCUACUCGGGAGGCUGAGACAGGAGAAUUGCUUGAACCCAGGAGGUGGAGGUUGAAGUGAGCCGAGAUCACGCCAUUGCACUCCAGACUGGGCAACAGAGCCAGACUCUGUCUCAAGAAUAAAUUAAAAAGCAGCCAGACAACCCUAUCAUUCAAAUUCAAUUGUAAAGAAGAAAAGAAGAUAUUAAUUAAGGUGCCAUGCUAAAUUUUUUGACCCAUGUAGUUCUAUGGAUUCUACCAGUAACAUUGCAUGCUUAGGUGUCAUUACUCCCAUUCUGCAGAUUUGAAAGCUCAAACUCAGAACUAGCUGAUGAUUGAAAUCACCUGUUCUGAUUCCACUACCCAAAGAUUCUUUACAAACAAGUGGGCUUCCAGUAGAAAAGGAGGCAGCUGGAGAUUUUGAGACAUGUUGUGCAAUCAUUUAUGCUUUCUUUUUCCACGUGAAAAAAAUACACUUUCCUUUUCUUCAAGGCAGCAUCUCUUCUUGCUGUUAGGCAGCACUGUCCUCUUUAAGAAAAGAAAUCCACAUCUUCAUGGAUGAAAUUGGAAACCAUCAUUCUCAGUAAACUAUCGCAAGAACAAAAAAGCAAACACCGCAUAUUCUCACUCAUAGGUGGGAAUUGAACAGUGAGAUCACAUGGACACAGGAAGGGGAACAUCACACUCUGGGGACGGUUGUGGGGUGGUGGGGGGGAGGGAGAGCAUCGGGAGAUAUACCUAAUGCUAGAUGACGCGUUAGUGGGUGCAG
rnacentral:lncRNA from 1 species